GAGGAGUCAUCCCACGUCCCUGCUGCUGAUGGGUAGCGUGGGGGUGAGGAGAAAGGGCAUGGCUGUGCCCCCCAAGGACUCCAGCUGAAUCCGGGAGGAAGUCCGCUUAUUUAUCUUAUUUCCUGUACACCAUUUUGAUUUAUUUUCCUGGUCUGGAGAAAGAGCUGUAGCAUAAACUAAGGCUCCAUUCUAGGGGGCCUGUUGGCUCCUUGGAGUCUGUAAUUGGGACAUUGAAAGGAAAAAAAAAAAAGAAAAGAAAAGAAAAGAAAAAAAAACAAGCCCGCAGAGGAGUGGAUGAUCUUUUAUACUUAAAGUUCCCCCCUCUAUAAAAGCGACAUAUUACAAACCUCUUUCUCCUCUCGAACAUUUCUUGCUAAGUGCAUUCUGAUGCCACAUUGAAACGCAAAAUAGCUGGAAUCAAGCAGGCACCGAAGGCUAUUUAUAUGCUAAUCUUUAUUUCCCAAGCUGAAGCAGGAACCUCGAGCUUGGUGCUGCUUCUAAUGAUGGCUCGGCUUUAACCUCUCUGGAAGAAAGAAAAGUAUUUUCCUUAAGAAAACAACUCAGUUUCUUUAAGAUGAAAUGUAAUUAUCUAUUAUCAGAUGUCCCUUAAAAUGCAAGGCCUAUUAAAGCUGCUAAAAAUAUUGAAGCCCUAAUUUCACCAUAAUAGCAUUUUAAUUUCAGCAAAUCACGCUUCUAUUGUUACAGGACAUUUUGCGGUAGGAAUGUGAGACCCUGCGAACAUGGAGGCCGGUAAAGAGGGGGAAUUUCAUGCGGAGAAGAGCAGCCUGUUCACUUCUAAGUGGGUUCACCUUUUAACAUGGGUUAAAGUGUAACUGUGACCCUGGUAAUCAGUACUGCUUGUUGAGCACUCGCUGUACACCAGGCACUAUGUUGAGUUUUUUAAAUGCAUAAUUUCCCUUAAUCUUCACAACAGUCUUAUGGUGGGGGGAUAUUGCCUCCAUUUUCCAAAUUUGGAAACUGACACCCACAGCGGUUAAUUUGUCCAAGCUUAUGUGGCCAGCAGGAGGCAGAACCCCAAUUAAUCUGAGAUCUAUCUGGCUAUAACCUCCGUGCUAUGCUGCCUCCUACCCAUUUCUGCUUCCAGAGACCACCUUAACUCUGGCCUCCAGUCCAAAUCCGGUUCCAGACAGCUCCCCUGGCUCCAUGCUACUUCCUUGCUGCCACCUUUGCCUUGGGGCCCUCUGGACCCAUGUACACAUGGAAUUUGAAAAGUCUCACCAUUCUUUCCCUCUUUGGGACUCAGUUUCCUACCCAUAAAAUUAGGAACUUGGAUGACCCAGUCUUCAAGAGCUUUUCUAGGUCCAAGGUCCUCUGGAUUCAGUUCAAGUCUACAGAAUGGCACUGAGCACUGUGUGGGCCUUGGGCGUGCAGAGAUGGUGAAAUGGGUCCCUGUCUUCUAGAUGAACGCCAGCACUGCCAGCUCAAUAUUGCCAGCUGUCCUUCUGUAUGUGUGGUCAGGCUGGACAAUUGUGAUGGCACCCUGCACAGCAAGGGUAGAGUCCUUUAGGGCUGCAGGACAAUCUGAGAUUUCACUUGAUUUUCCCUUUGUUUGCUGGACAAACUCCUACUUCUUUUUAAAUAAGCAGCUCAAGAGUUACUUCUUCUGGGGAGAUGUUUUGGCUCCUUUUCAAGCCCAGAUUCCCAUGACCCUUCUAGUCUUUCUCUUAUAGCAUCUACUCCUGCAAUAGAGAAAUAAGUAUAUAGCCUUGUUUAGAUUCCUGGCCCCACUGCUUACCAGUGUAUGAUCUCAGGGCCUGUUUCCUUGUCCAUGCAGUACAGUGAUAAUGGUGUCUAUCUUUCUCUCUGGUUGUGUAAGUCCUAAAUGAGAGUUGUAUAAAGCUCCUAGAACUGUGCUUACAAAGCAUUACUUAUGUUUGAAAUGCUUGUUCCCCGGUGCCCUAAAGAAAUGGCACUUGAACAUAAAUUUAAUGUUACUCAGCAAGGCCAUUUUUGCUUCCUGCAGAA
rnacentral:lncRNA from 10 species